CGGACGGGUGAGUAACACGUGGAUAACCUACCUAUAAGACUGGGAUAACUUCGGGAAACCGGAGCUAAUACCGGAUAAUAUUUUGAACCGCAUGGUUCAAAAGUGAAAGACGGUCUUGCUGUCACUUAUAGAUGGAUCCGCGCUGCAUUAGCUAGUUGGUAAGGUAACGGCUUACCAAGGCAACGAUGCAUAGCCGACCUGAGAGGGUGAUCGGCCACACUGGAACUGAGACACGGUCCAGACUCCUACGGGAGGCAACAGUC
rnacentral:rRNA from 1 species